rnacentral:lncRNA from 1 species
UUCUGAUUAGGUCUUUCAACCUUUCAGUUGAAAGACCUAUUGUAUUUGUUCUGAUUAUUAUUAUUAUUAUUAGGUCUUUCAACCUUUCAGGUGAAAGACCUAUUGUUUUUGUUCUGAUUAUUAUUAGGUCUUUCAACCUUUCAGGUGAAAGACCUAUUGUUUUUGUUCUGAUUAUUAGGUCUUUCAACCUUUCAGGUGAAAGACCUAUUGUAUUUGUUCUGAUUAUUAUUAUUAUUAUUAUUAUUAUUAUUAUUAUUAUUAUUAUUAUUUUUUUUCUUCCGCCAACUUUUUUUUCCUUCACUGUUUUUUUGUUUCCCAAGAUGUCGCUUAGAUAUAUGGUAUAUGAUAUCGAACAGUUAAUACGCUUCUGAAACUGACACCGCGUAACAAAAAACUUUACCUUGUAAGAGUUAUCUCCCCGAACACUGUUUUUCUUGUUAUCUCUAAGGCUUCGCAACCGUAUAAGAAACCGACAAAUUUAUUUUUCCAAAUUGCUCGUUAUAUCCUCAGGAUGUUCUGUUUUAUUUUGACCGAAGCUAUCCGGAGACUCCAUAUGAGCGUUAUCCCCCCUUUUGUAUAUGAUAUAGGUGAUAUGCAUUUCUAACUGGUAAACCAUAAGUGAUAGAGACCCAGGGUCUUUUGAUUUAAGAUCCUUGGUCCAAAAAAAUGAAAAUUAGGUCACGGUCAAAGGUCAAGGUCAAAUUCUAAAUUUUGAUUUGGGCUUAUUUUCACUUAUUUUCAUUAACCUUAUAAGAUAUUGACAAUUUAUUUUUACUAAAUUGUUAGUUGCGACAUGUCGUAACUUAUACAUUUUGGUUGCAAGGGUGCGUAGACAAUAAAUGGGAGUUUUCGCCCCUAUUAUAUUUAGAAUUAUGCGUAAAGUGAUAUUACUCAUGAACCAUACAUAUUAAGGAACUAGUGUCUUUUGAUUCGAGAUGUUAAGUCUAUGACCUUGAAAUUGAGGUCAAGGUCAAAGGUUAAUUGGACGUUCUAGAUUUUGACCUUUGCUUUAAAUUCAUAUUUAUACAUCAUAAAGCCAUAGGAACUGACAUUUUUAACUGAAUUUUAAUAUUUUCAUAUCAAAAUAGAUCUUUAUUAGUUGAAAGACCUUCAAUUGUUCUUUGAACAAUUGGUUUUUAAUUAUUUUUUUUUUUCUUCCGCCAAAUUUUUUUUCCUUCACUGUUUUUUUGUUUCGCAAAGAUGUCGCUUAGAUAUAUAGUAUAUGAUAUGGAACAGUUGAUACGCUUCUGAAACUGACACCGCGUAACAAAAACCUUUACCAUGUAAGAGUUAUCUCCCCGAACACUGUUUUUCUUGUUAUCUCUAAGGCUUCGCAACCGUAUAAGAAACCGACAAAUUUAUUUUUCCAAAUUGCUCGUUAUAUCCUCAGGAUGUUCUGUUUCAUUUGGACCGAAGCUAUCCGGAGACUCCAUAUGAGAGUUAUCCCCCCUUUUAUAUAUGAUAUAAGUGAUUUGCAGUUCUAAAUGGUAAACCAUAAGUGAUUGAGACUUAGGGUCUUUUGAUUUAAGAUCCUUGGUCCAAAAAAAUGAAAAUUAGGUCAAGGUCAAAGGUCAAGGUCAAAUUCUAAAUUUUGAUUUUGGCUUAUUUUCACUUAUUUUCAUUAACCGUAUAAGAUAUCGACAAAUUAUUUUUACUAAAUUGUUAGUUGCGACAUGUUGUAACUUAUAAAUUUUGGUCGCAAGGGUGCGUAGACAACAAAUGGGAGUUUUCGCCCCUCUUAUAUUUAGAAUUAUGCGUAAAGUGAUAUUACUCAUGAACCAUACAUAUUAAGGAACUAGUGUCUAUUGAUUCGAGAUGUUUAGUCUAUGACCUUGAAAUUGAGGUCAAGGUCAAAGGUUUAUUGGACGUUCUAGAUUUUGACCUUUGCUUUAAAUUCAUAUUUUACAUCAUAAAGCCAUAGGAACUGACAUUUUCAACUGAAUUUUAAUAUUUUCAUAUCAAAAUAGAUCUUUAUUAGUUGAAAGACCUUCAAUUGUUCUUUGAACAAUUGGUUUAUUAUUAUUAUUAUUUUUUUUUUUCUUCCGCCAACUUUUUGUUCCUUCACUGUUUUUUUGUUUCGCAAGAUGUCGCUAAGAUAUAUGGUAUAUGAUAUCGAACAGUUAAUACGCUUCUGAAACUGACACCGCGUAACAAAAAUCUUUACCUCGUAAGAGUUAUCUCCCCGAACACUGUUUUUCUUGUUAUCUCUAAGGCUUCGCAACCGUAUAAGAAACCGACAAAUUUAUUUUUCCAAAUUGCUCGUUAUAUCCUCAGGAUGUUCUGCUUAUUUUGACCGAAGCUAUCCGGAGACUCCAUAUGAGCGUUAUCCCCCCUUUUGUAUAUGAUAUAGGUGAUAUGCAUUUCUAACUGGUAAACCAUAAGUGAUAGAGACCCAGGGUCUUUUGAUUUAAGAUCCUUGGUCCAAAAAAAGGGAAAUUAGGUCAAGGUCAAAGGUCAAGGUCAAAUUCUAAAUUUUGAUUUUGGCUUAUUUUCACUUAUUUUCAUUAACUUUAUAAGAUUUCGACAAAUUAUUUUUACUAAAUUGUUGGUUGCGAGAUGUCGUAACUUAUAAAUUUUGAUUGGAAGGGUGCGUAGACAAUAAAUGGGAGUUUUUGCCCCUCUUAUAUUUAGAAUUAUGUGUAAAGUGAUAUUACUCAUGAACCAUACAUAAUACUGACCUAGGGUCUUUUGAUUUGGGAUCCUUAGUUUAUGACCUUGAAUUUGAGGCCAAGGUCAUAGGUAAAUUGUACGUUUUAGAUUUUGACCUUUGCUCGAAAUUCAUAUUUUUAUAUCAUAAAGACAUAGCAACUGACAUUUUCAACUGAAUCUUAAUAUUUUCAUUUCAAAAUAGAUCCUUAUUGGUUGAAAGACCUUCAAUUGUUCUUUGAACAAUUGGUUUUUAAUUAUUAUUAUUAUUAUUAUUUUUUUCUUCCGCCAACUUUUUUUUCCUUCACUGUUUUUUUGUUUCGCAAGAUGUCGCUAAGAUAUAUGGUAUAUGAUAUCGAACAGUUAAUACGCUUCUGAAACUGACACCGCGUAACAAAAAACUUUACCUUGUAAGAGUUAUCUCCCCGAACACUGUUUUUCUUGUUAUCUCUAAGGCUUCGCAACCGUAAAAGAAACCGACAAAUUUAUUUUUCCAAAUUGCUCGUUAUAUCCUCAGGAUGUUCUGUUUCAUUUGGACCGAAACUAUCCGGAGACUCCAUAUGAGAGUUAUCCCCCCUUUUAUAUAUGAUAUAAGUGAUUUGCAUUUCUAACUGGUAAACCAUAAGUGAUAGAGACCUAGGGUCUUUUGAUUUAAGAUCCUUGGUCCAAAAAAAUGAAAAGUAGGUCAAGGUCAAAGGUCAAGGUCAAAUUCUAAAUUUUGAUUUUGGCUUAUUUUCACUUAUUUUCAUUAACCUUAUAAGAUAUCGACAAAUUAUUUUUACUGAAUUGUUAGUUGCGACAUGUUGUAACUUAUGAAUUUUGGUUGCAAGGGUGCGUAGACAACAAAUGGGAGUUUCCGCCCCUCUUAUAUUUAGAAUUAUGCGUAAAGUGAUAUUACUCAUGAACCAUACAUAUUAAGGAACUAGUGUCUUUUGAUUCGAGAUGUUUUGUCUAUGACCUUGAAAUUAAGGUCAAGGUCAAAGGUUAAUUUGACGUUCUAGAUUUUGA